GGAAGCUACAGAUGUAGAUAUGUCAGCUGUCAUAGUUUUCGGUGACAAGAUUGCUGCAAAGCCUAAAAUCUUUACAAAGGUGAUAAAUUCCCUUAAGAAGCUGAUAAAGAUCCUCCCAUCUUCCUUUGCUUUCCCUGAAGCACUUAGAUUCUUCCUUAUUGUGCCUGUUCUUUUACGGCGGAUGGAUAUCAAAUCAGAUUCUCUUCUUACUGAACUUGCUCAAGUAAUUGUGACUCUCCAACAAGAAGACCAGCAAGUGCUUGAAACUUUGUGGACCAAUAUGGAAGUUGCGUUCUUCAAGGAUCUAGUGGACAUGUUUCGAAGACUUGUCAGUAAUAAGCUAUUAUCUUUCAUGAACAGUAGAAUAUUUGUGGCAGACCAAAACAAGGACUUAAGUUUGCCUCUCCAAGUACUCCAGAUGCUUUAUAAGGUAGGCGGACUGCUGAUCUCAAGGCAUGAGAAAUCACAUAAAAGGAGAU
rnacentral:lncRNA from 1 species